UACGUAGGGCGCAAGCGUUAUCCGGAAUUAUUGGGCGUAAAGAGCUCGUAGGCGGUUUGUCGCGUCUGCCGUGAAAGUCCGGGGCUCAACUCCGGAUCUGCGGUGGGUACGGGCAGACUAGAGUGAUGUAGGGGAGACUGGAAUUCCUGGUGUAGCGGUGAAAUGCGCAGAUAUCAGGAGGAACACCGAUGGCGAAGCAGGUCUCUGGGCAUUAACUGACGCUGAGGAGCGAAAGCAUGGGGAGCGAACAGG
rnacentral:rRNA from 1 species